UUGACCUCAAAUCAGGUAGGACUACCCGCUGAACUUAAGCAUAUCAUAA
rnacentral:rRNA from 3 species